rnacentral:rRNA from 1 species
GUGUCAGCCGCCGCGGUAAUACGUAGGGGGCUAGCGUUGUCCGGAAUCAUUGGGCGUAAAGCGCGCGUAGGCGGCCCGGUAAGUCCGCUGUAAAAGUCAAAGGCUCAACCUUUGAAUGUCAGUGGAUACUGCCGGGCUAGAGUCCGGAAGAGGCGAGUGGAACUCCUGGUGUAGCGGUGGAAUGCGCAGAUAUCAGGAAGAACACCGACGGCGAAGGCAGCUCGCUGGGACGGUACUGACGCUGAGGCGCGAAAGCGUGGGGAGCGAACAGGAUUAGAAACCCCCGUAGUCC